GUUCUCCCCCCCCCCCCCCCUAAGUGUUAGGUCAUCGGUCAAAUUAGUAUUCCUUAAAUUCCAUAUCUAAAUCUAGAUCAAUAUAGUUUAAAAACAAAAACAACUUUUUUUACUUCAAUUUUAUUAGCUAACAGAUGCUGUUUUUAGACACCUAUUAAUGAUAAUUAUUGCUUUCAUAUUGCGCUUCUUUCCUGCUUAUAGCAUGCUCAAAUCGCUAUAGUCGAAUCUCAUCUGUGGACCAGUGGGGGGAAGGGGAUAUCUGGAGAAGUUUUUCCGUGCUGCCUAUAGGUACUCAGUAAACACAACUCUUCCCGAGGACGGGUGUCGAACCUCGAUCCCCCUUCAUAGGUGGCAAAGCCAAGCCAAGUUCAAGCGUACUUAGCCUCUCGACCACGCUUCCCUACUGACUUAACGAAGUAAGGUAUUUUACUGUUUACAUGUGCAAUUAAACUUUAAAAAAAAUUAAAUAUCUAAUUGACAAGAAGCCCUACCUGGGGACUUAUGACAAUCCCAACAAAAAAUACUUAAUUAAUUAACAUGUUGCGCUCAAAUGCAAUCAUAAAGCAAUACAGAAAUGAAAGUAUAUAUAUAUAUAAAGAGAGAGAGAGUCAAUUGCUCAAAAAACAUUUAGGCAACUAAUUGAGAAAAACAUUCCCUUAUAUCUGGAUCAUUAAAUACAAAUCAAUUAUCUAAUAUAUACACAUUUCACAUGUUACUUUUGAACGAGUCUGGUGUCAAUGUAUAUUAUGUUUUCUAUAAUUAUAAUGUUUUGUUUAGUGUAAUUUACACAUUGUAAGACAAAUUUCCUUAUGGAUAAUAAAGAUGAUUAUUAUGAUUGUUGUGAUUAUUAUUAUUAUGAUGAUAAUUAUGAUAUUAUUAGAAAAACAAAGCGGAUUUUUCUUCAGAAUAGAAGUCUAUUACAUUCUAAUCCUAACUUUCAGCAGUACAGUAUUCAAACCCAGGACCGAUGAGGCGACAGUCUAGAGCGCAUACCACACGAAAAUGGCCGCGAUGCAUG